GCUGGAGCCUGGGGGUGGAGCUGCUGCUGCCUUUGAAGUCUGAGAGUCAUUGACCUGGAGAUCCACAACAUUCAAACCAACAUGGCUCCUCCCUGGGUCUGCAGCUCCACGACCCUCAAACUAGAACAAGACCUCUCCUCCCUGGGCCGCCAGCUUCCUGACCUUCAAACUACAACAACACUGCUCCUCCCUGGGUCUGCAGGUCCAUGACCCUCAGACCAGAACAAGACCUCUCCUCCCUGGGUCGCCAGCUUCCUGACCCUCGAAUUACAACAACCUUGCUCCUCCCUGGGUCUGCAGCUCCACAACCCUGAAACUAGAACAAAAUUUCUCCUACCUGAGUCGCCAGCUUCCUGACACUCGAACGACAACAAAAUUGCUCCUCCCUGGGUCGGCAGCUCCACGACCCUCAAACUCGAACAAGACUUCUCCUCCCCAGGGUGCCAGCUACCGGACCUUCAACUUACAUCAACAUUGCUCCUCCCUGGGUCUGCGGCUCCACGACCCUCAAACCAGAACAAGACCUCUCCUCCCUGGGUCGCCAGCUUCCUGACCCUCGAACUAAAACAACAAUGCUCCUCCCUGGGUCAGAAGCUCCACGACCCUGAAACUAGAACAAGACCUCUCCUCCCUGGGUCGCCAGUUUCCGGACCCUUGAACUACAACAAAAUGGCUCCUCCCUGGGUCUGCAGCUCCACGACCCUCGAACUCGAACAAGACUUGUCUUCCCCAAGUUGCCAGCUACCAGACCCUCGAACUACAACAACAUUGCUCCACCCUGGGUCUGUAGCUCCACGACCCUCAGACCGGAUCAAGACCUCUCCUCCCUGGGUCGCCAGCUUCCGGACCCUCAAAUUACAACAAAAUUGCUCCUCCCUGGGUCGGCAGCUCCACGACCCUCACAAUAGAACAAGACCUCUCCUCCCUGGGUCGCCAGCUUCCGGACCCUUGAACUACAACAAAAUUGCUCCUCCCUGGGUUGGCAGCUCCACGACCCUCAAACUCCAACAAGACUUCUCCUCCCCGAGUUGCCAGCUGCCAGACCCUCGAAUUACAACAACAUUGCCCCUCCCUGGGUCUGCAGCUCCACGACCCUCAGACUAGUACAAGACCUCUCCCUGGGUCGCCAGCUUCCUGACCGUCGAACUACAACAAAAUUGCUCCUCCCUGCGUCUGCAGCUCCACGACCCUCACACCAGAAGAAGACCUCUCCUCCCUGGGUCGCCAGCUUCCUGACCCUCGAACUACAACAAAAUUGCUCCUCCCUGGGUCUGCAGCUCCACGACCCUCAGACCAGAACAAGACCUCUCCUCCCUGGGUCGCCAGCUUUCUGACCCUCGAACUAUAACAACAAUGCUCCUGCCUCAGUCUGCAGCUCCACGACCCUGAAACUAGAACAAGACGUCUCCUCCCUAAGUCUCCAGCUCCAACACCCUCAGAUCUGAGCAGCGGCAGCACCAGCUCCUUUCUGGGUCUUCUGUUUCACGAUCCUUAAAUUAGAACAGCAGCACCAUCUUCUCCCUGGGUCUCCAGCUCCACGAAACUCAAGCUAGAAUAGCAGCACCGGCUCCUCUGGGAUCUUCAGCUCCACGACCCUAAGACAUCAGUGGCAGCACCGGCUCCUCCCCUGGACUCCAGCUCCAGGACCCUCAAACUUGAACAGAAACACCAGCUCCUCCCCAGGCCUCCAGCUCCUUGACCCUCAUAAACAAUCCCUUCUCAUGAAAUGUAGCAGUCAGGAAAACUGUAGAGGAACUGGUGUUUCUGUUCAAGUUUGAGGGUCCUGGAGCUGGAGUCCAGGGGAGGAGCCGGUGCUGCCACUGAUGUCUUAGGGUCGUGGAGCUGAAGAUCCCAGAGGAGCCGGUGCUGCUAUUCUAGCUUGAGUUUCGUGGAGCUGGAGACCCAGGGAGAAGAUGGUGCU
rnacentral:lncRNA from 10 species